UACGGAGGGUGCAAGCGUUAUCCGGAUUCACUGGGUUUAAAGGGCGCGUAGGCGGGUGCUCAAGUCCGUGGUGAAAUCCUCCGGCUCAACCGGAGAACUGCCUCGGAUACUGGGCGUCUCGAGUGUGGUAGGGGUAUGCGGAACUAUCGGUGGAGCGGUGAAAUGCGUUGAUAUCGAUAGGAACUCCGGUGGCGAAGGCGGCAUACUGGACCACCACUGACGCUGAUGCGCGAAAGCCAGGGGAGCGAACGGG
rnacentral:rRNA from 1 species